ACUACAAGAAACCUGUUAAUCCAUGACGGAUUUCCGGUGACAAUUUCAAAAACUGUCAUGAACCCCGUAGUAUAGACCCGCAAGCCCACCAAAGCCCGCCUAAAGCCCUAAACAUUUCCCUGUAUAAAAGCUAACCUAAGUCACUCCCGUCCCCAACCUCUUUCUCCAUCCGCCAUCACCACGCCUCACCUCUCCUCAAUCCCGUCCUUCGCUAACGCCUCCCCCUCCCCCUCCCCGCCUCCAAGCGACGAUGACGGCCCGAGAUCUACAUGGUGACAACGGCUGAUGCGCCUGAUGGAAGCGGCGGCCAACCCUAGCCGCCUUGGUGUGCCUCUGCUGCUCACAACCAACGAACCACGCCUUGGAUCUGCGGCAGAAGCCUCCCUCCUCUGUCUGCCAAGCUGCGUAGCUGCCUCCCAUCAGGAGAUUUGGAGUAGCAAUCGCCGGACAAGGAGAAGACGACGACCGUGACCUGCCGGAGGCCCGACCUCGACCUCACCGGCGACGUCGACGCCCCACACAAGAUCAGCAGGACCUCCCUGCCUCUCCGGUUCGAUGGAUGUUGAUGACCGGGGCCCUCGCUCGAGCUCGAUGACGAGGUCCUCUGUUCCAACCACCAUGAUUCCUCGGCGAACAAGAAGGUCGACCCUCUCGCCCUGUUUUUUCUUUCUUUCAAAGUGAUUGCUGCUCUGCUGUUGCGUAGUUCUCCAGGGGCUAUCCAUUUUUCUUGGACUGAAUCUGAUGCAGAAAAUGUGGCCACUUCGUUUUCCUGUCCUCACAAGUUACAGCCAACGAUAGACUAGUUCUGUUGGCUAUUUCCUUUUCCUUCUCUCACCGUGCGACCACUACCAAUGUAGAAUUUGUGAGAUCUGCUAGUUUAUUAAGCAACUACUAAUUUAAUAAUUAAAUGCCCCUGAGAUGCUCUCGUUGGUUCCUUUGAUUUUUCUUGUUUGUGGAAUAAAAGUAAUUUAGUAAUCUCACUCAAUCGAUUGACCAAUAGUAAGAUUUUUAACUAGAGCUGCUAUUACACUUCUGCUCUCUUAUAUAUAUUGUACAAAGUUUAUAUUUGUUAUUAUCAUUUGGUUGAUCAGUCCUCCUCGUCUACUCCUCGCCUACUCUCGCUCUUGCACUAAUUACAUAUACAAGUUUAGUGUCAGAUCCGUGAAAUGUACUUACUACCAUCAUUUGUUUGUAGCAAAUAUCACAUAUUUUGUUCAUCGCCUUGUUGUACUCACCGGCAAGGCAUUAUUUGCUGCCGUUUUGGUUUUCGUGGAGACAAAAAGAGAAGCCGAUUCAUUGAGAUAUUUGCUAUACAAAAGAGGAUUCCCUGCAACGGCAAUCCAUGGUGACAGAAUACAGUAGGUAAGAUUGGGAAGACGGCUACUUGGUGCUGCUCAUCACAAUCAGCCAAGACAUGAUGGUUGCCAUCAAGAGGGCCGACAGCAAGAAACUAAAUAAUAGCCUUGAUAGUUUGUAUGUUCUAUUGAUGUAAAAUGAAUUGUAAUCAUUCCUACGCAUGGUGUGUGAUAUAUUUUUGUCAAUAUAUAUUACAGGUUAUCAUUUUGUUGAUGAUUUUGUAAACUGCUAUGUUAUAGAUACAUACAGAUUGUUGCAUACUGUGUUGAACUGUGUAAUGUUAUACACUUUGCAAAUACUUUCUCUUGGGCCAAAAUUAGCAUUUGGAUUUGUGAAAUGCAUUAUUCUAAUCACGUAUUGGGUAAAUAUUGGGUCCAAAGAAAUAGGCUAAUGUGCUCAACCAUGAUGAAUUUUGUGACGGAAAAUAAUAUGCACAUAGGUGGCCACGUCAUUCGAAUUGGGGAAUCAAAAAUCCUAUGUGGCAUUGGUCCAUGACGGCUUGUUCCGUCACAAUGGAUUGGGCUUGGGCGGGCCUAGGGCAGAUCCAUGAUGGACAAGAACCGUCAUGUAAGGCACGGUGUCAAAUUAUGACGCGAUAUACAUGACGGAUUUCAAAUCCGUCAUGGACGGGCACCCUUGACAGUUUUCCAUCGAUCCAUGACGGAUCAGAACUGUCACGUAUUAACAGAUUUCUUGUAGUGUACCUAUCAUGGCAUUUCCAU